rnacentral:rRNA from 1 species
GAUGAACGCUGGCGGCGUGCCUAAUACAUGCCAGUCGAGCGAACAGAUGAGGAGCUUGCUCCUCUGACGUUAGCGGAGGACGGGUGAGUAACACGUGGAUAACCUACCUAUAAGACUGGGAUAACUUCGGGAAACCGGAGAUAAUACCGGAUAAGCUAUUGAACCACAUGGUUCAAUAGUGAAAGACGGUUGUGGUGUCACUUAUAGAUGGAUCUGGGCGGCAUUAGCGGGUUGGUAGGGUAAAGGGUUAGCAAGGCAAGGAGGCGUAGCCGACCGGAUAGGGGGAUAGCCCACCUGGGAAGUGGAACACGCACCAGGCGACUACGGGACGCAGCAGACGCCAACCUUCCGCAGUGGGCGGAAGCAUGACGGAGCGACCGCGCGUGAGUGACGACAGUCUUGGGUUCGUAAAACUCUGUUUCUGGUGAAGAACAAAUUUGUCAGUAAACAUGCCCGGAGUGACGGUACCUAGUCAGGAAGCCACGGCUAACUACGUG